rnacentral:rRNA from 1 species
AUUGAACGCUGGCGGCAGGCCUAACACAUGCAAGUCGGACGAGUGGCGGACGGGUGAGUAAUGUAUGGGAAUCUGCCUGAUGGAGGGGGAUAACUACUGGAAACGGUAGCUAAUACCGCAUACCCUCAGAUGUACCCAUAUGGGAUUAGCUUGUAGGUAAGGUAACGGCUUACCUAGGCGACGAUCCCUAGCUGGUCUGAGAGGAUGAUCAGCCACACUGGGACUGAGACACGGCCCAGACUCCUACGGGAGGCAGCAGUGGGGAAUAUUGCACAAUGGGCGCAAGCCUGAUGCAGCCAUGCCGCGUGUAUGAAGAAGGCCUUCGGGUUGUAAAGUACUUUCAGUGGGGAGGCGUUACCGACAGAAGAAGCACCGGCUAACUCCGUGCCAGCAGCCGCGGUAAUUC